UGUCCGAACUUGGGAGCAGGAAGCGAAGGCAUUUAUGGGGACGUGGAGGGGUUGGUGGUGGAUAGAUCGAGGGAGGGGAAGGGAGUCUGUUAUUGGGUUGACCCCACAUCUCCACUCCCCCCACUCCCCCCACUCCCACCACCACCACCACCACCACCGCGGCCCGAGCCAUCGACCCAAAUUGAAAUGGACUUUGAAGUUAUUCGUCAUACUGAAAGCUUUGUUGUCCCCGUUCGGGAUAAUGAAGUGCAUGAGAACUCAGUCUCCAGUGUCGAUACACAAUAGACGACGUUUCAGUGCCGUGGCUGCAUAAGAGUAUGGAUUUCUGGCACAAUGUCCAAGGUGCAUGCAGAGGGGAAACGGUGUUAAGAGGUCAUAAAGUUGUUCUUUGUACUACAAGUGCUGCUGGAGUUUUGACAUUGCUGCAUCCUCAGAAGCCUGCCUAUAAACCAUCGGAGUGUUGUCACAGUAACAGCAAACACAGGCCAGUUGCCACAGAGCUGGCAUGUCCCAUCUGAAGGCCAGGACGUCUGGGAUACCUGAUACUUCACUGACCAAUCACAUGGUCACAGAGAGAUACCUGAUCUGCUGCGAGCCAAUGAGACGCCUCCUGCAUACAGUUGGAUAAAUGCCACAGCUGCAGCCAGUAUAUGAGUGGUCAAUAAGAAUAAUAUGUGACAGUGGACAUACCAUGUUGUUGUUGUAAGAGUGUGAUCAGACCACAGCCUGGAUUCAACAGAUUAAAACAAAAACUGUAAGACAAGUGUGACAUAACACAGGGAUUGUUUUAAGAUGCAAUCCAAACUAAUCUUAUAACAGUACACGUGACAGAAGAAAAACACAUCAUAUGCAGUACAAGGGGAUUAUGAAGGAUAUGUGGGAGAUAAUGGACUUUCAACACAACACUACAUAAACAGUAUAGCUUUGAAUCAAUAUGCUGUUGCUUGGAUGUUUCACAAGGAAUUUAUUGAAAGAAGCUUUUAUAUUCAGUCUCACACACGCACACAUGGAAGGCAAUCUGAUUUUUUUUUUCAUUCCCUAAGACAGCCACCUAUAAAAAAAAGUGGCAUUUUCAAGAAAUGAGGUCAUCAUGUUAAUGUGUAUAUGUGGCUGUGAUUAGUGCUUCUAUUAAUAGUCUGAUGUACUUUCAUACCACUGGAGCUCAUAAGCAGACAAUCUUCAGACCCGUUAAAGUCGAGUCAGGCCGAAACCAAAGAAUAUGUUUUAUUAUUCAUAAAUGUUUUUUACCCAUUAAUUAAUCAUUUGGGUUUAUAUGCAGAAAAUUUGGGGAAAUGCCAGGCACCCUUACCCAUGAGGCCGAGGAGGCGUCUUAAAGCGACUUGUUUUUUUGUGCGACCAACAGUUAAAGAAACUGAAGUGUCUGAACGCUAGUGAAAAGCAAGGCAAGGCAAGUUUAAUUAUAUAGCACCUUUCAGACACCAGGCAAUUCAAAGUGCUUUACACAGGCACAAAAAGCAUUUCAAACAUUUCACAAGAUAAUAAUAAAACAAUAAACUAAAUCUAAGAAGGCAAUACAAGUUGAGGUAAAAAUAAGAUUUAGAUCCAAAUAAGUUUAAUAAAAAGUAAUUGAUCAAAAGAAAACAGUAAAAACGUAUUGUAAAUACACACAUACACAUAUACAUAUCUGUGAGUAAAACAAAGCAAAGCAAAUGUCUCUAAUAACCGACAUGGUAUGCCACAUUAAACAGAAAUGUUUAGCCUUAGAGGCUGGACUGAGAGACAGUGAAGUUCAAGACUAAAUGCUAAUGUCAGCAUGCUAACAUGCAUGAUGGCAAUGCUAGCAUUCAAUGCUAAACUAAAAGUAUGUUUGCCAGCUUGGUUAACAUUUGAUGAAGCACAGAGGAGGCUGAUUGGAGUCUUAAUUGUUUAAUAUGUAAAAAAAAUAAAUGCAUAAAGACAAUAAUCUAAAGAAUGAUAAAAUUAGAUUCUGAACAGACGAUGAUGGAGCUGGGGGGAAGCUCCUGAGAUAUUUCAGUUUCUCCAGAGGUGAACAUGAAAGCUUAUAAAAAUGUUACAGAGGUAAUCAUCCAAGAGUUAAGACAUUUCACAUGCAGACACAAACGUCAAAGUAAUGGUGGCAGUAGGGAAAACAAAGUAACAGGACUACCCAAGUCAUGAAGAUUGAUCAUCUGGUAACCAUGAAUGUGUAUGCAAAAUGUAUGCAGGUUUUUCAACUGUCGUGGACGUGUUUUAAAACAUAGUUCUUAAUAAUUCAUCCCCUGGGCACCAUUAUUGUCUAUAAAAAUGUAUUAGCAAUGAAACUAAAAAAUGAACAUAAUCUCUCUAUUUUUUUGUUUUUUUAAUGUAUUCAUCAUACAUUGUACAAUCAUUUUAAACAAUAUAAACAGUUAAAACAAA